GACGAACGCUGGCGGCGUGCUUAACACAUGCAAGUCGUACGGUAAGGCCCUUUCGGGGGUACACGAGUGGCGAACGAGUGAGUAACACGUGAGUAACCUGCCCACAACUUUGGGAUAACGCUAGGAAACUGGUGCUAAUACUGGAUAUGUGCUCCUGCUGCAUGGUGGGGGUUGGAAAGCUCCGGCGGUUGUGGAUGGACUCGCGGCCUAUCAGCUUGUUGGUGGGGUAGUGGCCUACCAAGGCGGCGACGGGUAGCCGGCCUGAGAGGGUGACCGGCCACAUUGGGACUGAGAUACGGCCCAGACUCCUACGGGAGGCAGCAGUGGGGAAUAUUGCACAAGGGGCGCAAGCCUGAUGCAGCAACGCCGCGUGCGGGAGGACGGCCUUCGGGUUGUAAACCGCUUUCAGCAGGGACGAAGCUUUUUGUGACGGUACCUGCAGAAGAAGCACCGGCUAACUACGUG
rnacentral:rRNA from 1 species